GAUGAACGCUGGCGGCGUGCCUAACACAUGCAAGUCGAGCGAUUCUCUUCGGAGAAGAGCGGCGGACGGGUGAGUAACGCGUGGGUAACCUGCCCUGUACACACGGAUAACAUACCGAAAGGUAUGCUAAUACGAGAUAAUAUACUUUUAUCGCAUGGUAGUAGUAUCAAAGCUUUUGCGGUACAGGAUGGACCCGCGUCUGAUUAGCUAGUUGGUAAGGUAACGGCUUACCAAGGCGACGAUCAGUAGCCGACCUGAGAGGGUGAUCGGCCACAUUGGAACUGAGACACGGUCCAAACUCCUACGGGAGGCAGCAGUGGGGAAUAUUGCACAAUGGGCGAAAGCCUGAUGCAGCAACGCCGCGUGAGCGAUGAAGGCCUUCGGGUCGUAAAGCUCUGUCCUCAAGGAAGAUAAUGACGGUACUUGAGGAGGAAGCCCCGGCUAACUACGUGCCAGCCGCCGCCGUAACAC
rnacentral:rRNA from 1 species